GGUGGCACACGCCUGUAAUCGCAGCUACUCAGGGAGGCUGAGGCAGGAGAAUCACUUGAACCCAGGAGGCAGAGGUUGUGGUGUGCCAAGAUCACACCAUUGCACUCGGGAUUCUUGUGCCUCAUCCUUCCGAGUAGUUGGGAUUACAGGCACAUGCCACCAUGCCCAGCUAAUUUUUGUAUUUUUAGUAGGGAUAGGGUUUCACCAUGUUGGCCAGGCUGGUCUUGAACUCCUGACCUCAGGUGAUCUGCCUGCCUCAGCCUCCCAAAGUGCUGACAUUACGGGUGUGAGUCACUGCACCUGGCCAAUAAGUGAUAUAAAUUUAAAUUCUAACCACAUAUGAAGGCAGGCUAACAGCCAGCUCUAAAUUUUCAGGGAAGACUUUUUUCACCACUUAAAGGGGGAAUUGAGACAAACAAGACUUGUUUUCUCCCCUUGCUGCAAGCAGACUCUUUUUCUGGCCUACUAUUUCACUAGGCUGUAGUUCUUAGACAGUCCUGACUUCAUGUGAAGCUGCAGUUCCAACAACCCUCACCCCCUUGUGUGGGCCCAGAGCCCUGUGUGCUGUGCUGGAUCCCUGUACAGACACUGAAAAACAGAGUUCUGCAUUUCUUACAGCAGCAACUACAAGUGGUUUUGGAGCUUACCUAUCACUUUGGUUUCUAUUUUAUGUUCCUUUUUGGCUCCUGGAGAUUUGCUUUCUUGGAGUUGUAUUUUAUCCAUGAUUUCUAAGUGCCUUGUUAUGGAAAGGUUUAUUGCACUAUUCAAUCUUUCAUAUUAUUUGAAGUAGAAAACCCAAGGUCUUUUCAUCUUUACAACAACUGUACAAAUUAAGUACUAUUAUUCCCAUUUUAUUAUUGCAGAAAUUGAGGCUCAGGCAAGAUAAAGGUCACAUGGUUCCAUCAAGUAGUAGAGCCUGAAUGUGAACCCAGUACUAUCUGGCACCAAAAUUUAUGGUUUUUUAAACACUAAGCUAUAUUGUCUCUUACUAUACUCUGAUUUUUUUUGUGUAUUUUUUUCUUUUAGAAAAUGUUAAUUUUAUCUAUCAUCAGAAAAAAAUAAAAUAGCUUUUAAAGGUACUAUAAGUUGAAAAAUAUAUCCCUUGGUUAUAAAAUGUAUUUAUUUAUUAAACCUGAUAAGCUCUGCUAUCAAAGCCCUAUAGCUAGGUCAAGGUCAUCCAUUGUAUCUGUCAAGUACCAUGUGGGAUGAACAGAAUAUUUUCCUAUACAUAAAUAAUAAACAAUACCUGAGCCAAGGUAUUAUAUUUUCCUUUUUCCUCUACUUUGUUGUGUUUACCUUUUCCCUAUGAUCCUGUCAUUUUUCUCCACCACUCUCUCCCCAGGCUGCUACUAGCUCUAAAUAGUAGUAAUAAAUAUGAUUGGGUUCCUGCUACACUUUUGGCAAGCAGGAUAGUCUUCUUGGAUACAGUGGAUAUAGGCCUUAUCUGUCUGGGUUGUUGAGUAGAAAAGCAUGCUGGAGGACAUGUAAACCUUAAUGAAGUCUAAAUAGAUUACACCUAUUGCUUCUCCAGGAUCAGCAUGACAUGGCACUCAUAAUAGAAAACAGAGUAAGACUGGAACACUGGCUCACCAUGGGAUCAUAAUGCUAGCCACACACUAAUUUUUGCUUUAUUAAGUGCUGGAAAAUUUAUUGAUUCAUAAUUUGUUCUGAUGUUUUCCCAAGUAUCUAGAUAUCUAUAAUUACUUGAAUUAUUCUUUUUUUCUUUUUUAAUAUGCACACACAGACACACAUGGGCACGUACAAGCAAUUUGUCAUUUCCCAGGCUGUAGGGUUCCUCCUGGGCUCUCAAAAAUAAGCUCUGAAGUCUCUAAUGAAAUUCACCAAAGCCGCCGGGCACCGUGGCUCACGCCUGUAAUCCCAACACUUUGGGAGGCCGAGGCAGGUGGAUCA
rnacentral:lncRNA from 1 species